AUUGGAGUCUGCAACCCGACUCCAUGAAGCUGGAUUCGCUAGUAAUCGCGCAUCAGCCACGGCGCGGUGAAUACGUUCCCGGGCCUUGUACACACCGCCCGUCACACCAUGGGAGUUUGUAACGCCCAAAGUCGGUGGCCUAACCUUUAUGGAGGGAGCCGCCUAAGGCGGGACAGAUGACUGGGGUGAAGUCGUAACAAGGUAGC
rnacentral:rRNA from 1 species